rnacentral:rRNA from 1 species
UACAGAGGGUGCGAGCGUUAAUCGGAAUUACUGGGCGUAAAGCGCACGUAGUCGGCUUUGCAAGUCGGGUGUGAAAUCCCCGGGCUCAACCUGGGAACUGCAUCCGAGACUGCAUUGCUAGAGUAUGGGAGAGGGAAGCGGAAUUUCUGGUGUAGCAGUGAAAUGCGUAGAUAUCAGAAGGAACAUCAGUGGCGAAGGCGGCUUCCUGGACCAAUACUGACGAUCAGGUGCGAAAGCGUGGGAGCAAACAGG